UCUCGGCUUAUCACCGGCAGUCCCCCUAGAGUGCCCAACUGAAUGAUGGCAACUAAGGGCGAGGGUUGCGCUCGUUGCGGGACUUAACCCAACAUCUCACGACACGAGCUGACGACAGCCAUGCAGCACCUGUCUCCGCGCCCCUUGCGGGGACCGCCCAUCUCUGAGCGUGGCACGGGAUGUCAAAUCCUGGUAAGGUUCUUCGCGUUGCCUCGAAUUAAACCACAUGUUCCACCGCUUGUGCGGGUCCCCGUCAAUUUCUUUGAGUUUUAACCUUGCGGCCGUACUCCCCAGGCGGAUAACUUAAUGCGUUAGCUGCGCCACCAAAAGCCCAUGGCCCCUGACAGCUAGUUAUCAUCGUUUACGGCGUGGACUAC
rnacentral:misc_RNA from 1 species